GUGUCAGCAGCCGCGGUAAAACGUAGGAGGCGAGCGUUAUCCGGAUUUAUUGGGCGUAAAGGGCAAGUAGGCGGCUGCACAAGUUGGGCGUGACAUCUCUCGGCUCAACUGAGAGGGUGCGCACAAGACUGUGCGGCUAGAGGGCAGGAGAGGGUGGUGGAACUCCUAGAGUAGCGGUGGAAUGCUCAGAUACUAGGAAGAACACCGGUGGCGAAGGCGGCCACCUGGCCUGCACCUGACGCUGAGAGGCGAAAGCUAGGGGAGCGAACGGGCUUAGAUACCCCGGUAGUCCUAGCCGUAAACGGUGGAUACUGGGUAGUGGGGGUGAUAAAGCUCUCAGUGCCGAAGCUAACGCGUUAAGUAUCCCGCCUGGGGACUACGGCCGCAAGGUUAAAACUCAAAUGAAUUGACGGGG
rnacentral:rRNA from 1 species